CAGCAGCCGCGGUAAUACGUAGGUGGCAAGCGUUGUCCGGAAUUAUUGGGCGUAAAGCGUGCGCAGGCGGUUGUGUAAGACAGGUGUGAAAUCCCCGGGCUUAACCUGGGAACUGCGCUUGUGACUGCACAGCUAGAGUAUGGCAGAGGGGGGUGGAAUUCCACGUGUAGCAGUGAAAUGCGUAGAGAUGUGGAGGAACACCGAUGGCGAAGGCAGCCCCCUGGGCCUGUACUGACGCUCAUGCACGAAAGCGUGGGGAGCAAACAGGAUUAGAUACCCGUGUAGUCCCUGUCUCUUAUAA
rnacentral:rRNA from 1 species